rnacentral:rRNA from 1 species
CAUGUCCUUUUGAAAAUAAUUUAAGGUCUAAUCUGCUCAAUGAAUAUUAAAUAGCCGCAGUAUUUUGACUGUGCAAAGGUAGCAUAAUAAUUAGUUUCUUAAUUAGAAACUGGUAUGAAUGAUUGGACAAGAAAAUAACUGUCUCUUUCUUAAUAUUUUUGAACUUUAUUUCUAAGUGAAAAAGCUUAGAUUAUUAUAAAAGACGAGAAGACCCUAUAGAGUUUAAUAUUUUUAAUUAAUUACAUAUUAGAAUAUAAUUUUAAUUAAAUUUAUUUAGUUGGGGUGACUUGAAGAUUUAACAAAUUCUUUAAUAAUUAAAUUGGUGAUUUCUAAAUUUUUAAUCUAUAAAUUAUAAAAAUAAAACAAAUUACCUUAGGGAUAACAGCGUAAUUUUUCUUUAAAGCUCUUAUUAAAAGAAAAGUUUGCGACCUCGAUGUUGGAUUAAAAUUAAUUUUUGGUGCAGUAACUUAAAAAUUAGGUCUGUUCGACCUUUAAAAUUUUACAUGAUCUGAGUUUAAACCGGUGUAAACCAGGUUGGAUUCUAUCUUUAGAUAGUUAAAAUAUUUUAGUACGAAAGGACCAAAUAUUUAUUAAAUUAAUU